UUCGGGGCUUUUUGGUGAUUCAUGAUAACUUUACGGAUCGCAUAGCCUUGCGCUGGCGACGGUUCAUUCAAAUUUCUGCCCUAUCAACUUUCGAUGGUAAGGUAUUGGCUUACCAUGGUUUCAACGGGUAACGGGGAAUUAGGGUUCGAUUCCGGAGAGGGAGCCUGAGAAACGGCUACCACAUCCAAGGAAGGCAGCAGGCGCGCAAAUUACCCAAUCCCGACACGGGGAGGUAGUGACAAUAAAUACUGAUACAGGGCUCUUUUGGGUCUUGUAAUUGGAAUGAGUACAAUUUAAACCUCUUAACGAGGAACAAUUGGAGGGCAAGUCUGGUGCCAGCAGCCGCGGUAAUUCCAGCUCCAAUAGCGUAUAUUAAAGUUGUUGCAGUUAAAAAGCUCGUAGUUGAAACUUGGGCCUGGCUGGCGGGUCCGCCUCACCGCGUGCACUCGUCCGGCCGGGCCUUCCUUCUGAAGAACCUCAUGCCCUUCACUGGGCGUGCUGGGGAAUCAGGACUUUUACUUUGAAAAAAUUAGAGUGUUCAAAGCAGGCCUUUGCUCGAAUACGUUAGCAUGGAAU
rnacentral:rRNA from 1 species